CGGGGUAUAGCGCAGUUUGGUAGCGUGCUUGGUUCGGGACCAAGAGGCCGUGGGUUCAAGUCCCGCUACUCCGACCA
rnacentral:tRNA from 3 species